AGGACGAACGCUGGCGGCGUGCUUAACACAUGCAAGUCGAGCGGAAAGGCCCUUCGGGGUACUCGAGCGGCGAACGGGUGAGUAACACGUGAGCAAUCUGCCUUUAGCUCUGGGAUAGCUCCGGGAAACCGGGAUUAAUACCGGAUAAGACCACUUUAGACAUCUGUUGUGGUGGAAAGAAUUUCGGCUAGAGAUGAGCUCGCGGCCUAUCAGCUUGUUGGUGGGUAACGCCCACCAAGGCGACGACGGGUAGCCGGCCUGAGAGGGCGACCGGCCACACUGGGACUGAGACACGGCCCAGACUCCUACGGGAGGCAGCAGUGGGGAAUAUUGCGCAAUGGGCGAAAGCCUGACGCAGCGACGCCGCGUGGGGGAUGAAGGCCUCGGGUUGUAAACCCCUUUCAGCAGGGACGAAGCGAAAGUGACGGUACCUGCAGAAGAAGCGCCGGCUAACUACGCGCCAGCAGCCGC
rnacentral:rRNA from 1 species